UAGAUGGAUGUCAAUGUUAGCAGGUACACCCUCCCUUUCCACAUACUUCCCAUCUGCUGAAGUUUCUUGCACAAUUGCGAGGCUGAUUAGCUAGACACACUUAUGUGAAACACAGACGGGUUUCUAAACGAGAUACAACAUGAAUCCAUGUUUGGUUUUGAUUUGGAAGGGCGUGGUAGCAUCAAACAAUUGGAUGCAAUUGUUUCCUGGGCAAACUUUCCGUCUACGCGAUUCAUCUUUGGGAAAAGUGUUGUCAAUCAGAGUUGUCCAUACUGACUCAACGUAUGAACCAUGACCCCGCUUGGCCGCUUCUACCACUGACCAGCUGCCUUGGAGCAGCUCUCCACUAGUCAAGCUUCCGUUUCUUUCAGGCCCUUCCUGAGAUGUUUGAUGUGACUGCUGACUCGGCCAGGGACCUAUAGCAAACGCUUCCCUAACUCUGUCCUGGGGACCCCAAGGUGUGGAAUUUUUUUUGGUUUAAUCUCUAGCAUGACUACACAGCUGAUUCAAUUAAUCAAUUUGUAAUCAAGCUUUGAUUAUUUGAAUAAACGGUAUAAUGUACCACGUUCCAAGUCA